rnacentral:lncRNA from 1 species
UCAUAAUGUUGGGAUCCAUAGCCUGAGGGCCCCUGAUUAUUUGUAAUAAGUUGUAACCUAACAAAAGGAUUCACUUUAGUCACUAAAGUAUUAGAUAAAGCAUUCGCUAAUAAUUUUCACUAAAUUUUUUCAUUAAUCUUUCACAGGCCACUACUUUUUACAUAAGAUAGUUCAAUUUCGCAUCCUACAUCUAAAAAUUACUCCAUCUACCUUAUUUAAAAUCUUGCAAAUAGAACCCAAUUUGGUUUAAAAACCAGAAGAAAGAAAAAGAAGUGAAGCUUGUUCUUUUGUGCCUCCAGAGCAUCCACUGGCCUCAUCCGUUCUCUAAUGAUAAUGUUUACACCUUGCUCAUCGUGAUCCAUCCAUACGUAAAUUUCAAAGAACAAAGAAACAUACUAAAUAAAAAUACAUGGAAAAGAAAGUGAACAUACUUAGUUGAGGGGCUUUGAUGCUCAAUUCAUUAUCUUUCCUGUAGAUCCAUAGAAAAUGGCAUUCUCCUUUCAUGCCUGUGCUUGCCUGCAUCGGUACUUCACUGCCUAAAUAUUCUUCUAGUCGUUCGCCUAUAUUGGGAAAGGGAUAGGGACUAUAACACCUCAUUCCUGAUUUCUUGGUAUCUUCGGAAAAUAUUGUAUUAGGAUAGGACCACGUAAAAUAAUAAGCGAUUCUGAGUUUUAUACUUAUCCUCUUUCCCAAAUACACAUUUCUCUCGAUCGAGCCAAGCGAAGAUGGACUGGACCAUGUUCUUCUACUAAUAUCCUUGUCGUGCCUUCCUCAUUAGCAGCGUAGCAAGGCCUCUGAGUUCUACUCCACACUUGUAGGGCCCAUCCUAUACCCAAUUUCCGUCUGCCCUUCCCUCGAAAUCAUAGCUAGUAUUGGUAGUGUUCCCUUGUCCUAGUUGAUUUCCUUAAUCCAGUCAUGCUUUUUAUAAGUUUGAUAGAUACGAUCGAGCUAUUUGGGUUUAGUCCAUUAGCGAAUACCUCUGCCUUUCUAUCAUUGGACAUUUUUGGAAAUCACAUCUUCUUGUGAAAUCUAGUAAUGAGCUCGCACAUAGAAUCUUGUUCCCCUACUUUUUUUUGAAAUUCAUCUGAUGGGGAUGCAUCCUUUUGGACCAUGGGGCUUCAAAUAAGCAAUGGACCAUCCUGUUGAACGAGUUUGUGGAUUUCCCCUGUAGAUGCGAGUACCAUUCCAAAUCCUUUCCUGAUAACGUUUCUUCAAAUUUGUUUACCACAACUAAUUUAGCCUCUCUCGAGGUUAUGUUGGUGCACUAUUUAUCACCUUUAUGAACAUGAUUAGGUAUUCCCAGGUGUCCAUACUUCCCUCAUAUUUAGUGACGUUUGGCAUUUUGAAACUCGACGGAACAAAACAUUUAUUGCAUAAGGCAUGUAGGGUGAUUUGAUGUGAUGCCUCGAUUCAGAUUUUCCUCAGUGGUAGCAGUCUAGCUAUGCAGUCUACCCUAGAAAAAACUUAUAAGUAAUGUCUCUUUAACUCUUUUCCUAUCACUUUAAACAUGGCCUCUAGCAUGGAUACGCCCUUGAGCCGACCACGUCGGUUAUAUUUCCUCAUUCCUUUCAAAAUGCAAGGAACCUGCUGAGCUAAGCUCAUCUACCGCUCGCUCGCCCUUUCGUCAUGUGCCUAUACAUUGGCUAUCAGCUCCCCAAAGUGAUCGAAAAAAUUCUUCAGGAGCCCUUGCAGCCAUUGUAUGUCGUCUGUUCCUGCCUCUGACCAACAUGCCUCUUACUCCUCCUCUGUAUAUUCACGUUCAUUAUUUUCAUGACAUAAUGCAAUUUUUCAUCUUCAGGAGUCGUUUCUCCUCCUCAAGUUUGAGGUAUCCAAUUGUUAAGUCUCUAGCAUCUCCAGAAGAUCAAGUCCCCACACACCUCUUUGUCAAUAUUGGCCAUGACCUACUUUCCUACAAAGCAGAACACAGAGAAAGAACUGGCAAAAAGCAAGAAGAUAAAACAUACAGUUGUGGUGGCCCCAUGGUGGGCACCAAACUGAGCAUGUGUUAUGACUUAGCUACGAGUUAGAAGUGAGAGUUUGCAAAAUAACCAAUAGAUAAAGUAAAUAAUAAAAUAUACAACCAAAGUAAAUCUUAAAAACAAAUCUGGGAUGAUGAUGCAGUGGGAGAUUCCUUAGUUACAAGUCAAACUUGUUCGAAAUAGAUAUAAAUUUAAGUAGAGAAAACAAUGAGCAAAGACAACAACGAAAACUUAAUAGUAAAGCUAAAGAAAUUUUAUUGCUUGUGAAAGGG